rnacentral:rRNA from 1 species
UAAACCUUUGAAGUGAGUUAUGUGGGUCAAGGUAUAAUGAUUAAUUGGAGUUCUAGUUCAUUUACUUUGAGAAAAUUAGAGUGUUCAAAGCAUGAUUCACAUUUGAAUAAUACAGCAUGGGAUAAUAUAAUAUGACAUUAGUUAAAAUUUGUUGGUUUCUUUGGCUAAUGUAAUGAUUAAAAGGGACAGUUGGAGUAAUUUAUAUUGGUUGGGGAGGGGUGAAAUCCUAUGAUCCUUCCAAGAUAAACUAGUGCGAAAGCAUUUUACUAGGAUGUUUUCAUUAAUCAAGAACGAAAGUUAGGGGGAUCGAAGAUGAUCAGAUACCGUCGUAGUCUCAACCAUAAACUAUGUCGACUAAGGAUGAUAAAAUAUUAAAUGAAUGAUUUUUGUCGCACUUUAAAAGAAAUUAAAGUAAUUCAG